rnacentral:rRNA from 1 species
AACGAACGCUGGCGGCGUGGAUAAGACAUGCAAGUCGAACGGGACAACAUCUGUAGCAAUACAGGUGUUGUUUAGUGGCGAACGGGUGCGUAACACGUGGGCAAUCUGCCGAGAAGUGGGGGAUAGCUCGCCGAAAGGCGAAUUAAUACCGCAUACGAUCAGCCAAGACAUCUUGGCGACAUCAAAGCCGGGGCAACCUGGCGCUUCUUGAUGAGCCCGCGGCCUAUCAGCUAGUUGGUGAGGUAACGGCUCACCAAGGCUAUGACGGGUAGCUGGUCUGAGAGGACGACCAGUCACACUGGAACUGAGACACGGUCCAGACACCUACGGGUGCAGCAGUCGAGUAAUUUUUCUCAAGUGGGGAAACCCUGAAGGAGCGACGCCGCGUGGAGGAUGAAGG